UCAAGCGACUAAGUGCAUGUGGUGGAUGCCUUGGCGAUCACAGGCGAUGAAGGACGUGACAGCCUGCGAAAAGCUCCGGGGAGCUGGCAAAUGAGCAUUGAUCCGGAGAUGUCCGAAUGGGGAAACCCGGCCCGCAAGGGUCACCGCCGCCCGAAUCCAUAGGGUGGAGGGAGCUAACCCGGUGAACUGAAACAUCUCAGUAGCCGGAGGAACAGAAAUCAACCGAGAUUCCGCUAGUAGUGGCGAGCGAACGCGGAGGAGCCUGCAAGUUUUAGCCGAUGCCUUAGUGGAGCGCUCUGGAAAGGGCGGCCGCAGUGGGUGACAGCCCCGUACACGAAAGGGCGUCGGUGGAACCAAGCUUGCGACAAGUAGGGCGGGACACGUGAAAUCCUGUCUGAAGACGGGGGGACCAUCCUCCAAGGCUAAAUACUCGUGAUCGACCGAUAGCGAACCAGUACCGUGAGGGAAAGGCGAAAAGAACCCCGGAAGGGGAGUGAAACAGAUCCUGAAACCGCAUGCAUACAAACAGUCGGAGCUCCGUCACUCAAUUGCUCUGCAAUUGCGUGACAUCGCUCCUCCUUUCAGGGGUCAGGAGUCAGUUGACAGGAGUCAGUAACGGCAGGUCGAGUCAUGCGCUGCGCAUGGGGAUGACGCGCUGUUACUGCCAACUGCCAACUGAAUCCUGUCUUCUGCACGGAGGAGAUCAAUGGCGGAGCCAUUGAGCGACGGAGUGACGGCGUACCUUUUGUAUAAUGGGUCAGCGACUUACGUUCCGUAGCGAGCUUAACCGCAUAGGGAAGGCGCAGCGAAAGCGAGUCCGAACAGGGCGCUUCAGUUGCGGGGCGUAGACCCGAAACCGGAUGAUCUAGCCAUGGCCAGGCUGAAGCGGGGGUAACACCUCGUGGAGGGCCGAACCCACUACCGUUGAAAAGGUAGGGGAUGAGCUGUGGCUAGGGGUGAAAGGCUAAACAAAUCCGGAGAUAGCUGGUUCUCUCCGAAAGCUAUUGAGGUAGCGCCUCGUGUAUCACCUUCGGGGGUAGAGCACUGUCAUGGUAGUGGGGAGCAUCGCGCUCUACCACGCCAUUGCAAACUCCGAAUACCGAAGAGUGCGAGCACGGGAGACAGACGGCGGGUGCUAACGUUCGUCGUCGAGAGGGAAACAACCCAGACCACCAGCUAAGGUCCCCAAGACACAGUUAAGUGGGAAACGAGGUGGGAAGGCUCAGACAGCCAGGAUGUUGGCUUAGAAGCAGCCAUCAUUUAAAGAAAGCGUAAUAGCUCACUGGUCGAGUCGUCCUGCGCGGAAGAUGUAACGGGGCUCAAACUGUGC
rnacentral:rRNA from 1 species